rnacentral:rRNA from 1 species
GACGAACGCUGGCGGCGUGCUUAACACAUGCAAGUCGAACGGAAAGGCCCUGCUUGCAGGGUCCUCGAGUGGCGAACGGGUGAGUAACACGUGGGUGAUCUGCCCUGCACUUCGGGAUAAGCCUGGGAAACUGGGUCUAAUACCGGAUAGGAGCCAUUUUUAGUGUGAUGGUUGGAAAGUUUUUUCGGUGUAGGAUGAGCUCGCGGCCUAUCAGCUUGUUGGUGGGGUAAUGGCCUACCAAGGCGGCGACGGGUAGCCGGCCUGAGAGGGUGGACGGCCACAUUGGGACUGAGAUACGGCCCAGACUCCUACGGGAGGCAGCAGUGGGGAAGAUUGCACAAUGGGCGCAAGCCUGAUGCAGCGACGCCGCGUGGGGGAUGACGGCCUUCGGGUUGUAAACGCCUUUCGCUAGGGACGAAGCUUUUUGUGACGGUACCUAGAUAAGAAGCACCGGCUAACUACGUG